rnacentral:rRNA from 1 species
UACGUAGGGUGCAAGCGUUACUCGGAAUUACUGGGCGUAAAGCGUGCGCAGGCGGUUGUGCAAGACAGAUGUGAAAUCCCCGGGCUUAACCUGGGAACUGCAUUUGUGACUGCACGGCUAGAGUGUGUCAGAGGGGGGUAGAAUUCCACGUGUAGCAGUGAAAUGCGUAGAGAUGUGGAGGAAUACCGAUGGCGAAGGCAGCCCCCUGGGAUAACACUGACGCUCAUGCACGAAAGCGUGGGGAGCAAACAGG